AAUCUGCCUCUUCUAUAGGAAGAACACUAGUUAACAAAUUAACUAAGAGGGCAGGCCGGCUGUAAGCUGAAAGAAAGUACAGUGGCCAAGAUCAGCAGAACUUGGAAGACACUGAUGUCCCAAGCCUGUGUGGCAGGUGGCCAAGGGCCUUUUUAGCUUGUUUUCCUCCUCCCUGGCUUGGAGAUUUGCUAUGGGUCUAGGACAAAAGACAUUUCAUCAGUGUCACCUGGUGCCAGCGACACUCCAAGCAAGUUCAGAGGUAGAAGUCCAGCCCUGAAACAAUGUUAUCCUUAACCAGGCUUUCUUUCCUGAAGCACACAAAGCCAAAUUGAGGACAUCAAAUCUCCCCACAAAGGCAGGGCUGAGGGCAUCAACUUCAUGGACUGUGAGCAGCCAAAGAGUAAGAGAAGUCUUCUCCUCGGUCUGGUGAUGACUUCUGCAACCUCUCUGCUGUGCUCCACAGCUGUAGACAUUGCUUACAGACAUCUCC